rnacentral:rRNA from 1 species
CGCGUUACAACAUUUCUGUCGUUUCCGAAACUACCCUCCCACUCUCUCGCUCGCUCAGCUCAGCCACUCGCUCCCGCAGCCACUCGCUCGCUAGCUCCCGAACCCCUAGCUCACCGCCGCCGGCGCCUCUCCGUCGCAUGCGUCGCCGGCGCCUCUACCCCGCACGCAGCACCUCCGCCUCUUCCUCUCGCGUCGUCGCCGCCUUUCCAUGUUGCCAUACGCCGUCGCCUCUCCCUUUUCAAGAUUUAAUAUUUACUCCGGCGGCUGGAUCUAAAGCGCAGCUGCUCCACCUUCCUCAGGGUGGCGGGGAUCUCCGGCGGCUGGAUCUGAAGCGCGGCUGCUCCACCUUCCUCAGGGUGGCGGGGAUCUCCGGCUUGCUGCGCAGGGGGAGGGAACGACCGCCGGCAGCCGCUGCGGGCAGAAGGGGAACUGCGUAGGAGACAUCGUCGGUGUCGGCGUCCCAGGGACAGGGCACGGCGGCACGCACUGCGGGCCCAUGCACAGGCACAUCGUGCCUUUGCCGCCGUCCGCCAGCACGCCACUAGCCGACAGGAGCAGCCACAGCCACGCGGCCACGACAAGCAGGACCGCCGAUGACGGGUUCGUGCAGUCCCGCGAGGACCGGGCCAUGUGGGAUGCCGAGACGACGUUGCCGAAGAAGGAGUCUCCGACUACCUCACGACCGCCGCUGGCCUGCACAUCAGGUCGCCGAGCCCGUUCACCGGUGUGAGCAGUCUGGGCUGCCGGGUGCUCACCGUCCGGCAGCACACCACCGCGCGACACGCGGUGGUGGAGGCCGAGCUCACCCAGGUCGAGACCAUACGGUGGCAGUAGGAGGAGACUGAACACCAUGGUGGUGUGGGCGCCGAUUGAAAAUCACCAGCUAGUCCUACUUCAACUGCGAUGCAAUAUAAUUUGAUCGAAAAGGGACGGCAUGCUGAGGUGUACAAAGGACAGCUUGCUGAUGGACAGUUUGUGGCAAUUCAAGCUUACUAUAUCCUGAAAUUCAAGCUUAUUGUAUCCUGAUUUAACUGGAGUACAAUGUUGUAGCUUCACUUGUCUUCCAGUCAAAUACUCAUGUACUCCAACUUUAACUGGAGUAGACCCCAACUUAAUCAUAAUCAGUUGUUGCCUGUGGUGCUAUAUUAGUUAUACCAAGUUGAUGGUUUCGUUAAGUUGCAUGUACCCUGAAUUCAAGUAAAUUAAGUUGCAUGUACCAAGUUGAGUAUUUAACUUUUUUUGAAAAGGAGGAUAACCCAUGGCCUCUGCAUCAGAAUGUUGCGCGGGAGGCCGAUGCGGGCAGGCGCCGCUGGUGGCUCUAUUGGGGUCGCCUUGGCGACGCCUACGCCAAGACCUUCUACCUCGUGUGAAAGAAAGAGAACUCGAGCCAAAGUGAUGGUGAUGGAAAUGAAUGAAAGAAAGAGAAGCCGGAGUGCCUACCACAAAGAUGAGCAGAAGAAGGGGAGUUCGCUGGGAUGGAGGCGCUGGUGGCCUGGCCGUGGCCGUUGAGGAGGUGGGGGUAGAGGAGUUGAGUGCUGGCCAGGGCCAGGCGGGGCAGGAAGUGAGCGCUGGUCUGGAGGAGCCCGACGGAGAAGCAAGGACGACGAGGGGCCUGGCGGAGGGCCAAAGAGGAGCACUGGCCUGGAGGAGCCCGGCGGAGAAGCAGGGACGACGAGGGGCCUGGCGGAGGGCCAAAGAGGAGCACUGGCCCGGAGGAGCCCGGUGGAGAAGCAGGGACGACGAGGGGCCUGGCGGAGGGCCAAAGAGGAGCACUGGCCUGGAGGAGCCCGGCGGAGGGGCAAAGAGGGGCGCUGUCCUGGAGGAGCCCGGCGGAGGAUCCUAGAACAGCGCUAGCCUCGUGGAUGGAGGAGGAAGACGAUCUGUUUUCAAACUAGGGGUAUUUAUGUACUUUUGUACGUUUUCACCUGGUCGGAGAGAACUCCCAACGACAAUUAUUUCAGAAUGGAGGGACUAGUUUAUAAACCAUAAUGAAGUUGGAAUAUAGUAGGUUUAACACCAAUAUAAAUAAAGAAUUGGCAAGAGCUUUCUAUUACAGUACCUUAAAAUAGUCUUUUGUUUUCUUUCACUAACGGAGCUCACGAGAUUUCUAUUGAGUUUUGUGUUGUGAAGUUUUCAAGUUUUGGGUGAAUUCUUUUGAUGGAUUAUGGAACAAAGAGUGGCAAGAGCCUAAGCUUGGGGAUGCCCAUGGAACCCCCAAGAUAAUUCAAGGACACCAAAAAGUCAAAGCUCGGGGAUGCCCCGGAAGGCAUCCUCUCUUUCGUCUACUUCCAUCUGUAAUUUACUUGGAGCUAUAUUUUUAUUCACCACAUGUUAUGUGUUUUGCUUGGAGCGUUUUGUAUUAUUUGCGUCUUUGCUUGUUAGUUUACCACAAUCAUCCUUGUUGUACACACCUUUUGAGAGAGCC